rnacentral:misc_RNA from 1 species
GCGACUUUGAAGAUCGGUGACAAGACGCUGACGAUGUCAAUUCUAAACGCGCCCAGCGGCGUCUCCAUGACCACUGGCCUAGCGAAGCGGUUCGACAACGACCCAGCGCUCCCCACGGGCAUGACGGACCAGGACAACCCCGGGGUGACCGUAGUCAUGAUUAACCUGCCUGCAGGACAGUACAGCUUGCAGGUGUUGUUCAACCCG